AUUGAACGCUGGCGGCAUGCCUUACACAUGCAAGUCGAACGGCAGCACGGGUGCUUGCACCUGGUGGCGAGUGGCGAACGGGUGAGUAAUACAUCGGAACGUACCUUAUCGUGGGGGAUAACGCAGCGAAAGCUGUGCUAAUACCGCAUACGCCCUGAGGGGGAAAGCGGGGGAUCGAAAGACCUCGCGCGAUUAGAGCGGCCGAUGCCUGAUUAGCUUGUUGGUGGGGUAAAAGCCCACCAAGGCGACGAUCAGUAGCUGGCCUGAGAGGACGGUCAGCAACACUGGGACUGAGACACGGCCCAGACUCCUACGGGAGGCAGCAGUGGGGAAUUUUGGACAAUGGGGGCAACCCUGAUCCAGCAAUGCCGCGUGAGUGAAGAAGGCCUUCGGGUUGUAAAGCUCUUUUGUCAGGGAAGAAACACCGGCUCUAACACAGUCCGGGAAUGACGGUACCUGAAGAAUAAGCACCGGCUAACUACGUGCCAGCCGCCGCAGUAA
rnacentral:rRNA from 1 species